rfam:Fructobacillus fructosus KCTC 3544 strain DSM 20349 Scaffold9, whole genome shotgun sequence.
GGAGAGGUGUCCGAGUCAGGCUUAAGGAGCACGGUUGGAAACCGUGUAAGCGGUUAACGCCGCUUCGAGGGUUCGAAUCCCUUCUUCUCCA